AAGGCCCAAGUCCACAAGACAGAAAGAAUAGGUGAAAAGUCCAUGUCAUCUCAUUUUUGGAGAUGGACAUGGACAGGGGCUGAAACUGCAGUAUCAGCAGAUGGGGAGCUUAAGAAGGAAGCUAGUUCAUGGCACAGCACCCGUAAAGUCCCCAGAAUUGGAGGCACCAGAUUCUUCUGAAAGAAAAGGAGCAAUUCAGCACUUGUCAUGGAGAUAAGAGGUCAACACCCCAGGACGGAGUGAAAACCUAAGGUUUGUAUUUUUGAUACACAAAGUGCUCUUUU
rnacentral:lncRNA from 1 species